CCUGCAUGAAGUCGGAAUUGCUAGUAAUCGCGGAUCAGCAUGCCGCGGUGAAUACGUUCCCGGGCCUUGUACACACCGCCCGUCACACCAUGAGAGCCGGUAACACCCGAAGUCAGAAGCCUAACCGCAAGGAGGGCGCUGCCGAAGGUGGGAUUGGUAAUUGGGGUGAAGUCGUAACAAGGUAGC
rnacentral:rRNA from 1 species